UACGGAGGGGGCUAGCGUUGUUCGGAAUUACUGGGCGUAAAGGGCGCGCAGGCGGCUGCUCAAGUCAGGCGUGAAAGGCCUGGGCUCAACCCGGGAAUUGCGCUUGAGGCUGGCGUGGCUUGAGUGCGGGAGAGGAUGGUGGAAUUCCCAGUGUAGAGGUGAAAUUCGUAGAUAUUGGGAAGAACACCGGGUGGCGAAGGCGGCCAUCUGGACCGCAACUGACGCUGAGGCGCGAAAGCGUGGGGAGCAAACAGGG
rnacentral:rRNA from 1 species